rnacentral:rRNA from 1 species
UCGGGAAUUUUGGGCAAUGGGCGAAAGCCUGACCCAGCAACGCCGCGUGAGGGAUGAAGUAUUUCGGUAUGUAAACCUCGAAAGAAUGGGAAGAAUAAAUGACGGUACCAUUUAUAAGCUCCGGCUAACUACGUGCCAGCAGCCGCGGUGAUACGUAGGGAGCAAGCGUUGUUCGGAUUUACUGGGCGUAAAGGGCACGUAGGCGGCGCGGUAAGUCACUUGUGAAAUCUCUGAGCUUAACUCAGGACGGCCAAGUGAUACUGCUGUGCUAGAGUGCGGAAGAGGCAACCGGAAUUCUUGGUGUAGCGGUGAAAUGCGUAGAUAUCAAGAGGAACACCUGAGGCGAAGGCGGGUUGCUGGGCCGACACUGACGCUGAUGCGCGAAAGCCAGGGGAGCAAACG